CCUUAGUAACGAAGCUAACGCGUGAAGUUGACCGCCUGGGGAGUACGGUCGCAAGAUUAAAACUCAAAGGAAUUGACGGGGACCCGCACAAGCGGUGGAUGAUGUGGAUUAAUUCGAUGCAACGCGAAAAACCUUACCUACCCUUGACAUGUCCGGAAUCCUGCAGAGAUGCGGGAGUGCUCGAAAGAGAACCGGAACACAGGUGCUGCAUGGCUGUCGUCAGCUCGUGUCGUGAGAUGUUGGGUUAAGUCCCGCAACGAGCGCAACCCUUAUCAUUAGUUGCUACGCAAGGGCACUCUAAUGAGACUGCCGGUGACAAACCGGAGGAAGGUGGGGAUGACGUCAAGUCCUCAUGGCCCUUAUGGGUAGGGCUUCACACGUCAUACAAUGGUCGGUACAGAGGGUUGCCAAGCCGCGAGGUGGAGCCAAUCCCAGAAAGCCGAUCGUAGUCCGGAUUGUUCUCUGCAACUCGAGAGCAUGAAGUCGGAAUCGCUAGUAAUCGCGGAUCAGCAUGUCGCGGUGAAUACGUUCCCGGGUCUUGUACACACCGCCCAUCACACCAUGGGAGUGGAAUCUGGCAGAAGUAGGUAGCCUAACCGCAAGGAGGGCGCUUACCACGCUGGGUUUCAUGACUGGGGUGAAGUCGUAA
rnacentral:rRNA from 1 species